GACGAACGCUGGCGGCGUGCUUAACACAUGCAAGUCGAACGAUGAAGCCCUUUCGGGGGUGGAUCAGUGGCGAACGGGUGAGUAACACGUGGGUAACCUGCCCUGUACCCUGGGAUAAGCCUUGGAAACGAGGUCUAAUACCGGAUAUGACCUGCUCUCGCAGUGGGGGUGGGUGGAAAGUUUUGGCGGUGCAGGAUGGACCCGCGGCCUAUCAGCUUGUUGGUGGGGUGAUGGCCUACCAAGGCGACGACGGGUAGCCGGCCUGAGAGGGCGACCGGCCACACUGGGACUGAGACACGGCCCAGACUCCUACGGGAGGCAGCAGUGGGGAAUAUUGCACAAUGGGCGAAAGCCUGAUGCAGCGACGCCGCGUGA
rnacentral:rRNA from 1 species